AUUGAACGCUGGCGGCAGGCCUAACACAUGCAAGUCUAACGAGUGGCGGACGGGUGAGUAAUGUCUGGGAAACUGCCUGAUGGAGGGGGAUAACUACUGGACACGGUAGCUAAUAACGCAUACCAUCAGAUGUGCCCAGAUGGGAUUAGCUAGUUGGUGGGGUAACGGCUCCCCAAGGCGACGCUCCCCAGCUGGUCUGAGAGGAUGACCAGCCACACUGGAACUGAGACACGUCCCCGACUCCUACGGGAGGCAGCAGUGGGGAAUAUGGCACAAUGUGCGCAAGCCGGAUGCAGCCAUGCAGCGUGUAGGAAGAAGGCCUUCGGGUUGUAAAGUACUUUCAGCGGGGAGGCGUUACCCGCAGAAGAAGCACCGGCUAACUCCGUGCCAGCAGCCGCGGUAAUUC
rnacentral:rRNA from 1 species